GACGAACGCUGGCGGCGUGCUUAACACAUGCAAGUCGAACGAGUGGCGGACGGGUGAGUAAUGUCUGGGAAACUGCCCGAUGGAGGGGGAUAACUACUGGAAACGGUAGCUAAUACCGCAUACCAUCGGAUGUGCCCAGAUGGGAUUAGCUAGUAGGUGGGGUAACGGCUCACCUGGGCGAAGAGCCCUAGCUGGUCUGAGAGGAUGACCAGCCACACUGGAACGGAGACAAGGUACAGAAUCCGACGGGAGGCAGCAGUGGGGAAUAUUGCACAAUGGGCGCAAGCCUUAUGCAGCCAUGCCGCGUGUAUGAAGAGGGCCUGCGGGUUGUAAAGUACUUUCAGCGAGGAGGCGUUACUCGCAGAAGAAGCAACGGCUAACUCCGUGCCAGCAGCCGCGGUAAUAC
rnacentral:rRNA from 1 species